GACGAACGCUGGCGGCGUGCUUAACACAUGCAAGUCGAACGGAAAGGCCCUGCUUUUGUGGGGUGCUCGAGUGGCGAACGGGUGAGUAACACGUGAGUAACCUGCCCUUGACUUUGGGAUAACUUCAGGAAACUGGGGCUAAUACCGGAUAGGAGCUCCUGCUGCAUGGUGGGGGUUGGAAAGUUUCGGCGGUUGGGGAUGGACUCGCGGCUUAUCAGCUUGUUGGUGGGGUAGUGGCUUACCAAGGCUUUGACGGGUAGCCGGCCUGAGAGGGUGACCGGCGACAUUGGGACUGAGAGACGGACCAGACUCCUACGGGAGGCAGCAGUGGGGAGUAUUGCACAAUGGGCGGAAGCCUGAUGCAGAAACGCCGCGUGUGGGAUGACGGCCUUCGGGUUGUAAACCGCUUUCGCCUGUGACGAAGCGUGAGUGACGGUAAUGGGUAAAGAAGCACCGGCUAACUACGUG
rnacentral:rRNA from 1 species